UACGUAGGGUGCGAGCGUUAAUCGGAAUUACUGGGCGUAAAGCGUGCGUAGGCGGUCCCGCAAGUCCGCUGUGAAAGCCCCGAGCUUAACUUGGGAACUGCAGUGGAAACUAUGGGACUUGAAUCCGGCAGAGGGGGGUGGAAUGCCACGUGUAGCAGUGAAAUGCGUAGAUAUCGUAAGGAAGACCAGUGGCGAAGGCGGGUCUCUGGACAGUUCCUGACGCUGAGGCACGAAGGCCAGGGGAGCAAACGGG
rnacentral:rRNA from 1 species